AACGAACGCUGGCGGCAUGCCUAACACAUGCAAGUCGAACGAGACCUUCGGGUCUAGUGGCGCACGGGUGCGUAACGCGUGGGAACCUGCCCUUAGGGUCGGAAUACCUCCCCGAAAGGGGUGCUAAUACCGGAUAAUGUCUUCGGACCAAAGAUUUAUCGCCUUUGGAUGUGCCCGCGUUGGAUUAGCUAGUUGGUAGGGUAAAAGCCUACCAAGGCGACGAUCCAUAGCUGGUUUGAGAGGAUGAUCAGCCACACUGAGACUGAGACACGGCCCAGACUCCUACGGGAGGCAGCAGUGGUGAAUAUUGGAAAAUGGGCGAAAGCCUGAUCCAGCAAUGCCGCGUGAGUGAUGAAGGCCUUAGAGUUGUAAAGCUCUUUUACCCGGGAUGAUAAUGACAGUACCGGGAGAAUAAGCUACGGCUAACUCCGUG
rnacentral:rRNA from 1 species